GUGCCAGCAGCCGCGGUAAUACCGGCGCCUCAAGUGGUAGUCGCUUUUAUUGGGCCUAAAACGUCCGUAGCCGGUCUGGUACAUUCGUGGGUAAAUCAACUCGCUCAACGAGUUGAAUUCUGCGAGGAGGGCCAGACUUGGGACCGGGAGAGGUGUGGGGUACUCUCAGGGUAGGGGUAAAAUCCUGUCAUCCUGAGAGGACCACCUGUUGCGAAGGCUCCACACUAGAACGGAUCCGACGGUCAGGGACGAAGCCUAGGGGCACGAACCGGAUUAGAUACCCGGGUAGUCCUAGGUGUAAACGCUGUGGACUUGAUGUUGGGGACGCUCCGAGCGUUCUCAGUGUCGAAGCGAAGGUGAUAAGUCCACUGCCUGGGGAGUACGGUCGCAAGGCUGAAACUUAAAGGAAUUGGCGGGGGAGCACCGCAACCUGAGGAUUGUGCGGUUUAAUUGGAUUCAACGCCGGAAAACUCACCAUGGCCGACGGACAUAUGAAAGCCAGUGUAACGAGCUUGCUGGAUUGUUCGAGAGGUAUUGCAUGGCCGCCGUCAGUUCGUACCGCAAGGCGUUCUGUUAAGUCAGAUAACGAACGAGACCCUCAUCCCUAUUUGCCAAGGUCUGCCCGCAGACCACGGGACUAUAGGGAGACCGCUGGCGCGAAGUCAGAGGAAGGCGAGGGCAACGGUAGGUCAGUAUGAUCCGAAUGCCAUGGGCUACACGCGCAAUACAAAGGACGGGACAAAGGGCUGCUACUCCGAGAGGAAGAAGCUAUCCCGAAACCCGUUCGUAGUUCGGAUUGGGGGCUGUAACCCGCCCCCAUGAAGCUGGAUUAGGUAGUAAUCGCGUCUCAACAAGGCGCGGUGAAUAUGCCCCUGCUCCUUGCACUCACCGCCCGUC
rnacentral:rRNA from 1 species